UACGUAGGGUGCGAGCGUUCAUCGGAAUUACUGGGCGUAAAGUGUGCGCAGGCGGCCGAGCAAGUCGAGUGUGAAAGCCCCGGGCUUAACUUGGGAAUUGCGCUCGAAACUACUUGGCUGGAGUGUGGCAGAGGAAGGUGGAAUUCCAGGUGUAGCGGUGAAAUGCGUAGAGAUCUGGAGGAACACCGAUGGCGAAGGCAGCCUUCUGGGCCAACACUGACGCUCAUGCACGAAAGCGUGGGGAGCAAACAGG
rnacentral:rRNA from 1 species